UACAGAGGUCCCAAGCGUUGUUCGGAUUCACUGGGCGUAAAGGGUGCGUAGGUGGCCAGGUAAGUUUGGUGUGAAAGCUCGGAGCUUAACUCCGAAAAGUCAUUGAAUACUAUCUGGCUGGAGGGUCGGAGGGGAGACUGGAAUUCUCGGUGUAGCAGUGAAAUGCGUAGAUAUCGGAAGGAACACCAGUGGCGAAAGCGGCUUCCUGGUCCAGCACCGACGUUCAGGCACGAAAGCGUGGGGAGCAAACAGG
rnacentral:rRNA from 1 species